CCUACGGGGGGCAGCAGUGAGGAAUAUUGGUCAAUGGACGAGAGUCUGAACCAGCCAAGUAGCGUGAAGGAUGACUGCCCUAUGGGUUGUAAACUUCUUUUAUAUGGGAAUAAAAUGUUCCACGUGUGGGAUUUUGUAUGUACCAUAUGAAUAAGGAUCGGCUAACUCCGUGCCAGCAGCCGCGGUAAUACGGAGGAUCCGAGCGUUAUCCGGAUUUAUUGGGUUUAAAGGGAGCGUAGGUGGAUUGUUAAGUCAGAUGUGAAAGUUUGCGGCUCAACCGUAAAAUUGCAGUUGAAACUGGCAGUCUUGAGUACAGUAGAGGUGGGCGGAAUGCGUGGUGUAGCGGUGAAAUGCUUAGAUAUCACGAAGAACUCCGAUUGCGAAGGCAGUUCACUGGACUGCAACUGACACUGAGGCUCGAAAGUGUGGGUAUCAAACAGGAUUAGAUACCCCAGUAGUC
rnacentral:rRNA from 1 species